rnacentral:lncRNA from 1 species
AGGACUUGCCUCAUCAGGAAGAUGGGAACAGGAAGCACACAGUGAGAGAUGGCCAAGCUGAUCAAACUCUGAGUUGCUACAAGUGAAAGUGUUAUAAUGACAACUGACAUGUACUCUGAACACACUCCACAGGAUUUUGGAUGAAUCAUUUACUCAAGUGUUUACCCACCCACAAGGAAAUAAGACAAUAUACAGCACACAAAAAACUUGCACAAAAGGAGGAAGUCAACUGUCUAUGAACUGUGGUCUUUGGAUGACUAGUCCAGAUCAUAAAGGGACAUAUGUAAUACCUUUUUACAAUGCCUUCCAGCAGAAGUGGCCUGUAUCUCAAGAGAAGGACUUUGAUUACUAGAAGGAUUUACUGCCACAAAGCUUUCUGUGAUUCCUGGGGUUAAUUAAGGAACUGUGCAUUAGUGGAUUAUCUGAUUCGCCAUUGACA